AAGAAGACGUGGAAUGGCCGCAAUAGGAAUUCUGCCUGUAUCGCUCACCGUAUGCUUCUCAACCUCCCCAUGAGUCACUCCUUUGUGAAGGCUUGGCUUUGCAAACUAAGCAAGCAGGUUAAGUACUCAAGUUACAGAAUUAUUAUCCGGGCUGUUCCCUGGAGCCUGGAGUGGAGUGGAGUGGAUAAGCUGUAACGGCUGCAUCAUAAACCAGCCCAGCAAUGCUUAGCAGCUUCGCAGGCAGGCGUGCUGUCAUUGCCUUCGCUCCGUGGGGAGCACUAAUUGUAGCACUUGCUGCAGUCCCCUACAGCUUCCUGACGGAAUGCCAAUUUCAGGCGAGAACUAAUUUAUCAAUGGCUGUAGUGGCUAAAGAGAAUGCAUCCCCUGUCAUGUUCCAGGCUGCGGUGUUUCUCAAGUAGUUGUGUUGCUCUCGCAAGUAACGUGUGUUAGCGGAGUAUUUCUGCAAUAAGCAGGCGGGUCCUGUAGGCUUCUAGACUUAUUAGAUAACAGUUGUUCAACAUUAAUCUAUUUUAAUGAAGUUCCUGACCUUCUUCCUCGGUAGGCUGGACUGGAGUGGAACAUGAGAGAAUGCUGAGGGAAACAUCAUCUUUAGAGGAAAAUGGAGCUACAGUACGGUCAUCGGGAGAAAACAACUCCAUCAGGAUGGCCAGCUGUCUGCUCAAACACCCAGAGGAUAUUUGUGCAUCUUUCACCCCAUCAGCCUGCUCCUGCAGGACCUGAAUUUAUGUUGCUUGGGCUGUAAACCCCCUGCACAGCCUCCCAGUGGUCUGGAUGGAUACCUAAUUUGCUUUCAGCAUCGCAUAUCCACUUUCGACAUCAGAGGAUACAGUUUCUGAGCUUUGCAGAAGUUUUAGCUGCUCAACUACCAUUAAAGUCAAUUGGAUCAUGUGGCUAAAGUAACAUAUAACAAUUGGAGAAUGCACUCCAGGGUUAAACUGCUGUACUUGAGCUAUUAGAUUGAAAGAAUUAUCCAUCUUCCAAAACACAACCUGCAUUGCCACAGCAUGGUGCCCCCUAUUCAUCACCUCCAGACACUGAAAGCUGCUUUCAGCCCUGGUGUAAAUGAAGUUGCCAUAUCAUUUGAAUCACGCAGCUUAAGCCAGAGCUGGAUCUGUCCCACACAGAGCUGCUGAGUUUUCAAUGCAAGAGAGGCCCAGGGUAAUUGGCACUGGUCUGUGAGCAUCGCAGGAAAGAGAAAGAAAAGGAGUUAUUGAAAUAAAGUGGAGAGACUCUCCUUUGAAAACUGGAAUGAAAUGAAAACAGAAGGAAGAACAGAGUUUGUGGCCCUUCCCACACCUGGCUCUUCAGAGCAUCCUCUUCCCGCUGGCAUCAAGGGCUCCAGGGCAGAAGCAGGUGAUGCAAUGGUCAUCUCUGCCAACUUUUAAAAACUUGGGAAGAACUUUUCACUUUCAGAACAAAAACUUGCUGCUAAAUAUGGUAAUUAUGGUCGCAGGAUAGUCUUCUUUUCUUGGAUUUUUGUGACUGAACAAAUUAUUUUUCUGCCCAAGACAACAAAGUAUUUUUAUAGACUGCACCUAAUUGCACAGCAACAGCAGAAUGGGAAGAAGCCACAGGCCUCAAACAGAUUGUGUCUCGUUCUUCCAAAAUGAGAGGCAGAACUAAUCAGUCUGCAGAAGGACUCAGUAACCAAUUAACUAACUCCUAGCAGUCAGUAAAAUAACCCUUGUGAGAAAGGGAAGGUAAUGAAGCUACCCUGUCAGCUUUACAAUGAGAUCCCUUGAUAUCUGAAAAUAUAAAACAUUUUUAUACUCAUUUUCUGUACAUUUUCCAGCCCAUUUCCUACCAUAAAAUGAAAUAAUGUGCCAAUAAAUGCAGUAU
rnacentral:lncRNA from 7 species